rnacentral:rRNA from 1 species
GACGAACGCUGGCGGCGUGCCUAAUACAUGCAAGUAGAACGCUGAAGAGAGGAGCUUGCUCUUCUUGGAUGAGUUGCGAACGGGUGAGUAACGCGUAGGUAACCUGCCUUGUAGCGGGGGAUAACUAUUGGAAACGAUAGCUAAUACCGCAUAACAAUGGAUGACCCAUGUCAUUUAUUUGAAAGGGGCAAAUGCUCCACUACAAGAUGGACCUGCGUUGUAUUAGCUGGUAGGUGAGGUAACGGCUCACCUAGGCGACGAUACAUAGCCGACCUGAGAGGGUGAUCGGCCACACUGGGACUGAGACACGGCCCAGACUCCUACGGGAGGCAGCAGUAGGGAAUCUUCGGCAAUGGGGGCAACCCUGACCGAGCAACGCCGCGUGAGUGAAGAAGGUUUUCGGUUCGUAGAGCUCUGUUGUAAGAGAAGAACGAGUGUGAGAGUGGAAAGUUCACACUGUGACGGUAUCUUACCAGAAAGGGACGGCUAACUACGUGC